GAAACGGUCGCUAAAACCCGAUGUGCCGAGAGGUGAAAUAUUUAUAGCCUGAGGAUGAGCUCGCGUCAGAUUAGCUAGUUGGGGAGGUAAUGGCUCACCAAGGCGACGAUCUGUAGCUGGUCUGAGAGGAUGACCAGUCACACUGGAACUGAGACACGGUCCAGACUCCUACGGGAGGCAGCAGUGGGGAAUUUUCCGCAAUGGGCGCAAGCCUGACGGAGCAAGACCGCGUGGGGGAUGAAGGUUUGUGGAUUGUAAACCCCUUUUGUCAGGGAAGAAAAAUGNCGGUACCUGANGAAUAUGCCUCUGCUAACUCCGUGCCAGCAGCCGCGGUAAUACGGAGGAGGCAAGCGUU
rnacentral:rRNA from 1 species